rnacentral:rRNA from 1 species
UACAGAGGUCCCGAGCGUUGUUCGGAUUCAUUGGGCGUAAAGGGUGCGUAGGCGGCGGGGCAAGUCUGAUGUGAAAUCCCGGGGCUCAACCCCGGAACUGCAUUGGAUACUGCCUUGCUUGAGUACUGGAGAGGAGACUGGAAUUUACGGUGUAGCAGUGAAAUGCGUAGAUAUCUGGAGGAAUACCGGUGGCGAAGGCGGCAUCCUGGACCGACAUUGACGCUGAGAACCGAAAGCUAGGGGAGCAAACGGG